UACGAAGGGGGCUAGCGUUGUUCGGAAUUACUGGGCGUAAAGGGCGCGUAGGCGGUGCUCUAAGUCGGAUGUGAAAACUCUGGGCUCAACCCAGAGCCUGCAUCCGAAACUGGAGUGCUAGAGUUCUGGAGGGGGUAGCGGAAUUCCUGGUGUAGCGGUGAAAUGCGUAGAUAUCAGGAGGAACACCGGUGGCGAAGGCGGCUACCUGGACAGAAACUGACGCUGAGGCGCGAAAGCUAGGGGAGCAAACAGG
rnacentral:rRNA from 1 species